CUGAUUGUUUAUAGUUCUGUCUCAAGCGGUGAUCAAACACAGGUCGUCGCGACAAACUUGCCCUGGUUUGGCUAGCUAGUCAGCUAACAUGUAUUCCUUGAUCAGGACUAUCUGUUCCAUUAUACAUAACGAGUCAUUGGACGAAGGCGUCUUCUGUGCGGGGGAGUAUCUUUAACGACACUCGGUCUGAACAUGAAAACGAUUCGCUUGCGGUACGAUUUUUGAAGCAUAAUGACCUUAUCUUUUAACAUCAAAUAUUAAUAUUUUUCAAACAAAAUGUUAAAUUGUUACACAACUUCAUAGCGUUUGGGUUCCCACACGGCCAUAUUUCCAUGUUAGUGUUUGUUUACGCACACAGCUAACGUUAUCUGCGAAUCCGAACACCUGUGUAAACGGAAGACAAACGCCACAAACAUGUCACUGAAAAAUACUGUCCGCUGCAACUGUUAACCCGGUACAGAGGUGCUGUCAUAGACAACAACCGUGUGCUAGAACACUGGACUGAGACGACCUGCAGUUGUCUGAGUGGCUUCCUCUUUCUGCGUGGCAUCAUGGGAAAGGAGGCGUGUCUAUGGUGGUUUCAGAGAUGGGAUGGGUUUUACCUGCACUGUUACAAAGACUAAAACAAACAGCUAAAAAAACAGCGAAUUGACCAAGUUGAUCAGACAAGACUGAUCUCACCUGUGGAUAUGAAUGCUCUCUUAGACGGACAGAGCACUGAAUAGUGUAUACAACAUUUGAGAGCUUUUGUAUACAGGCUUUUUUUAAAGCUGCAUGCGGACUUGGAUUUUUACUGGGCAGCUUUACAUUUUUUUAUUUGAUUUUUUUUGUCCCAACGGCUGCCUCCCCAGAAUAUAGACCCUGGAACUAUCCCCUUUGCAAGCAUUCUAUCACACUUUUCUGUCUCACCCAAUCACAUUGUCACACACACACACACACACACGCACACGCACACGCACACACACACACUCAGUGCCUAGAUACACCUUGUACAAGACCAGAGUUCAGUGGAUGGUCACUGCUCUGCUAGACACCCCUGUUCUGUUGUUUUACAGGCAGUCCUGCUACAACCUCCUAAUUUCUGCCCCCUACAAGAGAGUUUGUAAAUAGUAGUGAUAGAUGUAGGUUUUGAUCCCUGUGGAGGGUUAGGGUUUGUUUGUUGGCUCACCAGGUCAAGUAUUUGUAAAAGCAGUUAAUUGUGUGUGCCCUUGUGGGUCUUUGUUGCAGUAGACAGGGAAGAUUUGGUUGAUUUAUGUAUAUUGUUGCACCAAAUAAGGUUACAUGAAAGCCACACAGAAAUAUAUAUUUUUAAAGUUGCAAUUAUUUUUGUAUGAUAUUGUAUAGUUUUAUUUUCAAAAUAUAUAAAAUGUAUAGCUAGCUAUCUAGCUAGCUGUUGAUAUACCAGCAAAGAUCUACACAUAUGCAAACAAAGGUGUAGACUUUACUAUAAAAUAAGUAUUUAAGUUUUAAGUGGUUUUUGUGGCCAAAGUGCAAAUAUCUGGCUACCUUAAGAUGUUUCUCCCAAAUGGCUGCUUUCUUUAAUAAUACUAUUUCUGCUACCUAAGACCCUUCCCAUCUACCAUCAUGCCCCCUUAUCCCAUACGGACACUGAGGUCUUCCCUCUGACCUUUCCAACAUCCUUCUCUUUAGAUAUACCUCUUCUACCUCGCUCCCUCCUCCUCUCUCCCUCCCUCUGAUGCCGGGGUUCAGUAGUGGGGGACUAGGUGGGGAGGUGGGUGGCCCCGCCGCCUCUCCUCCCUGCCCGUUCCGACCCAGUCGCUUCGUUCCCGUCUCCGCGGCAACCACUUUCCUGGUCGGCUCCACCACGCUCUUCUUCUGCUUCACGUGUCCGUGGUUGUCAGAGCAUGUCUCAUCCGUCAUUCCCAUCUAUAACGCUGUGGUCUUCCUCUUCACCCUCGCCAACUUCUGCAUGGCCACCUUUAUGGACCCAGGGGUCUUUCCCAGAGCGGAAGAGGAUGAGGAUAAAGAGGAUGAUUUCCGCGCUCCGCUCUAUAAAACGGUGGAAGUUAAGGGCAUUCAGGUCCGGAUGAAGUGGUGCUCCAGCUGCCGUUUCUACAGACCGCCCCGCUGCUCACACUGCUCUGUGUGUGACAACUGUGUGGAGGACUUUGACCACCACUGCCCGUGGGUGAACAACUGUAUCGGGCGCAGGAACUACCGUCACUUCUUCCUGUUCCUGUUGUCCCUGACGAUCCACAUCAUGGGAGUGUUUGGCUUCGGCCUGCUGUACAUCCUCCAGCACCAGCACCAGCUGGACAGUGUUCACUCCUCUGUCACUAUGGCUACGAUGUGUACCGCUGGUCUCUUCUUCAUCCCAGUAGCAGGUCUUACUGGUUUCCACAUGGUACUGGUAGCUCGGGGUAGGACCACUAACGAGCAGGUUACAGGGAAGUUUAGGGGAGGGGUUAACCCUUUCACCAAUGGCUGUCUUUGGAACGUCUCGCACGUGCUCUGUAGCUCUCAGGCUCCCAGGUACGUGGGGCGGUGGCGGGGGAAGCAGACAGUGGAGGUGCAGCCUCCCUUUCUCCGUCCUCCUCUCUCCGAGGCGCAGCUAGAGGCCAAAGUCCUGGACAACGGCAUCCAGAACGACCACCACAGCAGCCGGUCUAAGAGCAGUUUGGAGCAGAUGGAAAGCCAGUCAGCAGAUGCAGAGCCUCCACCUCCUCCCAAACCGGAGGUCCGCUACCCUGGCCUGCCCCGCGCAGACACAGAGGAAAGCAGCUUGCUCUCUGAAGGUCUGUCCACUCCCUCUAUGUACAAGUACCGGCCGGCCUAUAGCAGCCCACAGAGGAACCACACAGCUCUGACACACCCAAACAAGAUGAUUCGUGGGGACAGUCUGGACUCCCCCUCCAUUCUCCAGUCGAGUCGCCAGGCUAGCUAUCGGUCUGAGCCCAGCAGCCUGGAUGGGGGGUCGGUAAUUGGUUUGGCGGCACGUGGAGGGGAGAGGGGCGAAGGCCCCGGGGGGUCCAGUGGGACGGGUGGGGAGGUUGCGGGGGGUAUCUCCGGGUACUCCCUAGGGGGGCGGUCGUACACUUCUUACCCCUCCUCUCUGGUCCUGUCCACCGGUGGUUCUCACUCCUCCAGCAUGCGCUCUGCCCACACACACCAUAAUACUCUGGGCACGCUCCAAUCAGAGGGCACCACCGACACCAGCUACAAGAGCCUGGCCAAUCAGACACCUCAGAACGGCAGCCUGUCCUACGACAGUCUGCUGACACCGUCCGAGAGCCCUGAGUUUGAGUCGGCCGCUCACGAGUUGUCUCCACAGAAGCCCCACGCCCCUGCAGCGUUUCCCCCGGCGAUGACCUCCUCGCCGCCCCCCGGGGUCAGGGACGUACCCUUGCAGGGGUACACCUCACCCUUCCUCUCAGCACAGAUGGCCCAGCAGAGAGAGGGCCAGCUGCUCCAGGGCUCUGCCUCUUUCUCCUCCCCCAACAGGGCAUACCUCCGCGCCUUCAGCCCUCCCCCGCCGAAUCCCCCACACGCUGCCCACCCUGAGACACAGCACCACCUCCUCCACCAGGACUCCAGACACCCACACCUCCGUGCCACCUCCUCCAUUCGCCCCCUUCCUCCCGUCUCUGAACAGCCCUCCCCCUCCUCCCCGCAUGCCUGUUCCCCGGACCCCCCUGUGUCUCCCCCGCCCAGAGGCCCCUCCCUAAGGAAGUCCCCCUCCUACACCGAGGAGGCAGGGCUCCAGCACAAGGCUCGGCCAAUGGGAGGAGGCAGUUUGUCGGGAGAGGGCGGAGUCAGAGUGACCCAGACUCCACAGUGAGUAGAGAUCUGAGCCACGAGCCUGCUACUCUUCAUCCUCUUCCUCCAUGAUUGAUCUAUAUGAGCCCUCUUCCUCCCUGAUCUGUAUCCACCUCUCGCCCAGGCUUGGCCAAUCACAGCACAUCCAAACCAGUGGGCGGGGUGAAGAAGGUGACUGGCGUUGGAGGGACCACCUAUGAGAUAUCGGUUUGAGUGACAGACAUCCGCCCCAGCCGAAGAUAGAAUGUUCCACUGGACAGAUUCCAAUGUUCUUACUCUGAGGAGACUUGGAGAUGGUUAUUCAAUCAAAAAGGACUAUCCUCUGCUCUUGGUCAAUAUGGAGUGGAUAGUGGAACAGAGGUGUUUGGCUCACUGGUACUUCAAUGACCUUAGUAUCUUUAUAAUGCCACUGGUCAUCUUUUUACUGAUGAUCUUUCUUUCAUAUUGGAUCGAAUGGCGACUGAAGUGAAACUGAAUGUUGACCAGUAAUGGAAUGGGACAACCUCUCCACAGUCUGUGAGCCAUAGACAUGAACGUUGUUAUGACAGCUGGGUACUAAACUCUUUAAUGCAUAUAUACAAAGAUUAUUUAUUUCGGUACGUUAGGACAUGGAGAAUUUAUACGAUAAAAUAUAAUCCUGGAAAGGAGGGCAUUUGAACCAAUCAGUAUGGAGCCUGAGAGGGAGCAUAUGGACUGUUGGCCAAUUGUGGCGCUCAGUGGUUCGAGGCUUCCUGUCCCAUUCAAAUGGAUGGACCAAUCACAAUGGAUCACCCAUGUAAUUAGUCUGCAGCGAAUAUUCAGACUGCAGAGAUGAUGCCUCAACCUCUGCAAACACAGUUUAAUUUGAGUUUUAUAAAGAAUUUUUUUUAUAUUGUUUUUUAUAUAAAUGCCUAAAGAAUCUUUAAGAAUUAUUGGGUCAAUUGUUCAGAUGCUGGAGAUAGCAUUUUGGGUUUUGUGAAUGACUAUGAAUGUGAGUUAGACUAAUCGCUUGUUUUGAUUGAUGGCUGUAUCAGCCAGUCAUAGAGCUCGCUGCAAUUCUCAUCCAAAGAGAUUGGUGAUCGUAUAUAUGACGGCCAGCUGAAGAGGCCCGUCACUGAGGAUGUUGAAAGCCACAAAGAAAAUGUUUAUUCCGAAUCAUAAAUACAGUACACGCCUCUUUGUGGAAUGUACACUAGAAAUGUUAAUUAUUGAUACAUUAUGCAAAUUUUCUCUUUGUAGCUUUUAAAUGAUUUGCCUGUCAUUUUGGUGUUCAAAAUGUGUUCUGUCAAUCAGUGCUAGAAAAACUUUAAGGAUGGUCAGCCAAACAUGUUAAGAGUGUGAGGGGUCAUGUUUAUUUUAUCGGACAGGAAAACCUUUUGAGUUCUGAACACAAUUUCAAACCAAUCUCUAUAUCCAGGAGUUAGAGGAAGUUGCCCCUACACAUUGAGGCCUUUUGCCCCUAAUUGUUAGGGCACUAAGGGAGUGUAAACUGGUUCUAAAUCUAUUCCCAGAAGUGUAACUUCUACUCAGAGACCACAUCCCUAUCAUAGUGCCUUGUCCUUAGAUUCAAAUAUAAUUGGAAGAUUCCAACAAAUUAAAUUCUGGGGGGUGAUAAAUAUAGGUAUUAUUUUUUUCUUUGUUUGUAUAUGUAUGAUGUGUCUAGGAGGCUACAGAUGCCGGGGUUGGUUUGAAAUUGAGGACUGUUUUGAUCGUUUUUUGCCUUGAGACCAUUCGUAGUAAAACAAAGCGUUUAAAAAUAUAUAUUUUAAAGUAUUACUUACAACUAUUGUAUUUCAUAUUUUAAUUGGUUUUGUUGACAUUCUGGCCUCUUGAUUUCCUUAUCUGCUUUCUGUUGUUUAAAAAAAAUAUCUUUAUGGUACAGUGAACAUUUUGCCCGUGAAUAGGUUUAGGAAGGCACAGUCAGAAACAGAAAGAUGUGUUUGUGUGUCAGGAGUGUGCGUGGUUGAGAGGAGGAGGUGGUAUGUUUAAUCCAAUCCCAUUACAGAGUUGGAAUGUCAAAGCUAGCUGAAUGUAGCACGUUUUAUGUUCAGGGAAUUCUGAAGCACACAAACUAUCAACCAAUCACACAGCAGUGUGGCCACAGUCAGUGUUUGUAUGCACCCCCUCCCCAUGUGUACAGUACAGUAGGUGUGCAUGUGAUUCUGUGUGUUGUUGAAUGCACUCCCGGUGUGUAUGUGUGAGAAUAUCCUUGUCAAAUGCACACCUGGUUUAUAUGAGUACAAGCAGUCAGGCAUACAGGGUUAGAGAGAGUCUUACUUUCUCCUGGUGGGGAAGGGGGCUUUGAACAACAGAAUAUAUGUGAGUAAAUAAGAAUGCUGCUAUUGUUGUGGGUUGUGCUGAAUGGAGAGUGUCAAAUAUUUCUGAUGAACAUGGAGAAGACAUUUCCAAAAUGGCCUUAAGAGUUUAAGGUGUCUUCUCAGAAUAAAAGGUCAACCUGACGGAAAA